UGUUUCCCAGGAGGUUUGUCCUCGCCAUAGAGGAGAGGUGGCGAGAGGGGCUCGCGUUGCACAGUGGGGGUUGUAGUUCAUCUUCGUGUCGAGGAUACCCAGGAGAGACCAAUAGCGAACUACAAGGCCCAGAUAUCAUCAGGUUCUGCCCACCCUCUCCUCCAGCUUCUGGCCCUAGUUGCCUGGGACUCCUGUCAAUGACAAAGUACCAUGAGCCUCAUGAAUGGAUCAAGAUAAAGCAAAUGUGUCAUUUCACGGUUCUUGAAAUUAGAAAUUCAACGUCAAGAUGCAGGUGAUACAGCCAAUGUGCAGUUGCUGUGAGAGGAGAAUCUUCAGGGUGGCUGCCUGCAAAUGAUCAGGGAACUGCAGAAACACGAGGCAACUCGCAGAAGUCAGCGCUGUGCUAUGUCUGCUUUACUGUGCUAUGUGCACUCUUUGGUGACAGCUGCCUGAGUCACUCUCACUCCUGUAAGUAGCCCCAGCAAACUCCUCUGUUCAAUACACUAAACAUAGAUGC